UGCAAUUGUGCUAAACAUUUUCCAACCCUAAAUACCCCAUAAGUUAUCUUGUACUUGCUGUAAUGAGUGUUUCACACUCGAUUCCCAAGCUGUUUUGGGAGGGUGGAGCAAUCCUUCAUCCACAAAGAAACUCACACACAAAUAAUGCAUACAUGAUGUUCGAUAAUUUGCCUCAUUGGCAAUUUUAGUACCAAUGGAGUCCGAGUCUCAG
rnacentral:lncRNA from 1 species